UACGUAGGUGGCAAGCGUUGUCCGGAUUUACUGGGCGUAAAGAGCGCGCAGGCGGUCGUUCAAGUCGAGUGUGAAAGCCCCCGGCUCAACUGGGGAGGGUCACUCGAUACUGAUCGACUCGAAGGCAGAAGAGGGAAGCGGAAUUCCCGGUGUAGUGGUGAAAUGCGUAGAUAUCGGGAGGAACACCUGAGGCGAAGGCGGGCUACUGGGCCGAUACUGACGCUGAUGCGCGAAAGCCAGGGGAGCAAACGGG
rnacentral:rRNA from 1 species